CCGAGUUUACAACUCCCAAACCCAAUGUGAACCAUACCAAACUGUUGCCUCGGCGGGGUCACGCCCCGGGUGCGUCGCAGCCCCGGAACCAGGCGCCCGCCGGAGGGACCAACCAAACUCUUUUCUGUAGUCCCCUCGCGGACGUUAUUUCUUACAGCUCUGAGCAAAAAUUCAAAAUGAAUCAAAACUUUCAACAACGGAUCUCUUGGUUCUGGCAUCGAUGAAGAACGCAGCGAAAUGCGAUAAGUAAUGUGAAUUGCAGAAUUCAGUGAAUCAUCGAAUCUUUGAACGCACAUUGCGCCCGCCAGUAUUCUGGCGGGCAUGCCUGUCCGAGCGUCAUUUCAACCCUCGAACCCCUCCGGGGGGUCGGCGUUGGGGACCUCGGGAGCCCCUAAGACGGGAUCCCGGCCCCGAAAUACAGUGGCGGUCUCGCCGCAGCCUCUCCUGCGCAGUAGUUUGCACAACUCGCACCGGGAGCGCGGCGCGUCCACGUCCGUAAAACACCCAACUUUCUGAAAUGUUGACCUCGGAUCAGGUAGGAAUACCCGCUGAACUUAAGCAUAUCAAA
rnacentral:rRNA from 1 species